UGCUUGUCUGAAGAGCCAUGGCCACUUUCCACUUGGCCCUCAUCCAGCUUCAAAUUUCUUCCAUCAAAUCAGAUAACGUCACUCGAGCUUGUAGCUUUAUCCAGGAGGCAGCAACGCAAGGAGCCAAAAUAGUUUGCCAGAAUGCUUUAAUUCUCCAUAUGGAACGAAAUAUUUUCCUGAAUAUGCAGAGAAAAUUCCUGGUGAAUCCACACAGAAGCUUUCUGAAGUAGCAAAGGAAUGCAGCAUAUAUCUCAUUGGAGGCUCUAUCCCUGAAGAGGAUGCUGGGAAAUUAUAUAACACCUGUGCUGUGUUUGGGCCUGAUGGAACUUUACUAGCAAAGUACAGAAAGAUCCAUCUGUUGACAUUGAUGUUCUUGGAAAAAUUACAUUUCAAGAAUCUAAAACGUUGAGUCCGGGUGAUAGUUUCUCCACAUUUGAUACUCCUUACUGCAGAGUGGGUCUGGGCAUCUGCUACGACAUGCGGUUUGCAGAGCUCGUACAAAUCUAGCACAGAGAGGCUGCCAGCUGUUGGUAUAUCCAGGAGCUUUUAAUCUGACCACUGGACCAGCCCACUGGGAGUUGCUUCAGCGAAGCCGGGCUGUUGAUAAUCAGGUGUAUGUGGCCACAGCCUCUCCUGCCCGGGAUGACAAAGCCUCCUACGUUGCCUGGGGACACAGCACCAUGGUGAACCCUUAGGGGGAGGUCCUAGCCAAAGCUGGCACAGAAGAAGCAAUCGUGUAUUCAGACAUAGACCUGAAGAAGCUGGUUGAAAUACGCCAGCAAAUCCCCGUUUUUAGACAGAAGUGAUCAGACCUCUAUGCUGUGGAGAUGAAAAAGCCCUAAAGUUUACGUUUCUAAUGUGUCACAGAACAGGAAGAUAUGAUUCUACAACAAAAUCAACUCCCUAUUAAA